UACGUAGGGGGCUAGCGUUAUCCGGAAUUACUGGGCGUAAAGGGUGCGUAGGCGGUCUUUCAAGCCAGAAGUGAAAGGCUACGGCUCAACCGUAGUAAGCUUUUGGAACUGUAAGACUUGAGUGCAGGAGAGGAGAGUGGAAUUCCUAGUGUAGCGGUGAAGUGCGUAGAUAUUAGGAGGAACACCAGUAGCGAAGGCGGCUCUCUGGACUGUAACUGACGCUGAGGCACGAAAGCGUGGGGAGCAAACAGGAUUAGAUACCCGCGUAGUCCCU
rnacentral:rRNA from 1 species